UACGGCCGCAUCACGUUGAAACACCGGUUACCGCAUGACCACCGAAGUUAAGCAACGUCGAGCCUGGACACUACCUAGAUGGGUGACCGAUUGAGAAUAUCACGUGCGGUAAG